CAAAGGGGGCGACCCCGGUCAUGGAUGGGCAUGCGGCGCAUUAGGUAGUUGGUGGGGCAACGGCCCACCAAGCCGACGAUGCGUAGGGGUUCUGAGAGGAAGGUCCCCCACAUUGGAACUGAGACACGGUCCAAACUCCUACGGGAGGCAGCAGUGAGGAAUAUUGGUCAAUGGCCGGAAGGCUGAACCAGCCAAGUCGCGUGAGGGAAUAAGGCCCUACGGGUCGUAAACCUCUUUUGCCAGGGAGCAAUGCCGUCCACGUGUGGACGGAAGGAGAGUACCUGGAGAAAAAGCAUCGGCUAACUCCGUGCCAGCAGCCGCGGUAAUACGGAGGAUGCGAGCGUUAUCCGGAUUUAUUGGGUUUAAAGGGUGCGUAGGCGGCCUGCCAAGUCAGCGGUAAAAUUGCGGGGCUCAACCCCGUACAGCCGUUGAAACUGCCGGGCUCGAGUGGGCGAGAAGUAUGCGGAAUGCGUGGUGUAGCGGUGAAAUGCAUAGAUAUCACGCAGAACCCCGAUUGCGAAGGCAGCAUACCGGCGCCCGACUGACGCUGAGGCACGAAGGUGCGGGGAUCAAACAGGAUUAGAUACCCUGGUAGUCCGCACAGUAAACGAUGAAUGCUAGCUGUCCGGGGGGAUUGACCCCUGG
rnacentral:rRNA from 1 species